ensembl:snRNA U4 U4 spliceosomal RNA
AGCUUUGCGCAGUGGCAGUAUCGUCGCCUAUGAGGUUUAGCAGAGGUGCAGUUACUGCUAGUUGAAAACAUUUCUCAAUACCCCGCUUCCUCCGAUUUGAAAUACAAUCGGUGGGAGCAAUUUUUGACAGUCUCGUGAGAGG